GGACAACCUACCCUAGGUGGGGGAUAAUCUCGGGAAACUGAGGAUAAUACCCCAUAGAUCUAGGAUGCUGGAAUGCUUCUAGGUUCAAAACUCCGGUGCCUUAGGAUUGGUCUGCGGCCUAUCAGGCUGUAGUGGGUGUAACGGACCCACUAGCCCGUGACGGGUAUGGGCCUUGAGAGAGGGUGCCCAGAGAUGGACUCUGAGACAUGAGUCCAGGCCCUACGGGGCGCAGCAGUCGCGAAAACUUUGCAAUGGGGGAAACCCCGACAAGGGAAUUCCAAGUGCUAGCACUUUUUGUGUUAGCUGUUCUCCCGUCUAAAAAACAGGAGAAGUAAGGGGCGGGUAAGACGGGUGCCAGCCGCCGCGGUAAUACCCGCGCCCCAAGUGGUGGUCGAUAUUAUUGAGCCUAAAACGUCCGUAGCCGGUCUUUUAAAUCCUUGGGUAAAUCGGGCAGCUUAACUGUCCGAACUCCGGGGAGACUGAAAGACUUGGGACCGGGAGAGGUCAGAGGUACUUCUGGGGUAGGGGUAAAAUCCUGUAAUCCUGGAAGGACCACCGGUGGCGAAGGCGUCUGACUAGAACGGAUUCGACGGUGAGGGACGAAGCCCUGGGGCGCAAACGGGAUUAGAUACCCCGGUAGUCCAGGGUGUAAACGCUGCGGGCUUGGUGUUGGGGGUCCUUUGUGGGCGCCCAGUGCCGGAGAGAAGUUGUUAAGCCUGCUGCUUGGGGAGUAU
rnacentral:rRNA from 1 species